rnacentral:rRNA from 1 species
UGGUAGCAAUACCGAGGAAGUUUGAGUGGCGAACGGGUGCGUAACACGUGGGCAAUCUGCCGAGAAGUGGGGGAUAGCUCGCCGAAAGGCGAAUUAAUACCGCAUGUGACCAGGAAAGACAUCUUUCCGACGUCAAAGCCGGGGCAACCUGGCGCUUUUUGAUGAGCCCGCGGCCUAUCAGCUAGUUGGUGAGGUAACGGCUCACCAAGGCUUUGACGGGUAGCUGGUCUGAGAGGACGACCAGUCACACUGGAACUGAGACACGGUCCAGACACCUACGGGUGGCAGCAGUCGAGAAUUUUUGACAAUGGGGGAAACCCUGAUCGAGCGACGCCGCGUGGAGGAUGAAGGUCUUCGGGUUGUAAACUCCUGUCAUUUGGGAACAAUGCGGACGUGUUAACUGUACGUCCGUUGCUAGUACCAGAAGAGGAAGAGACGGCUAACUCUGUGCCAGCAGCCGCGGUAAUACAGAGGUCUCAAGCGUUGUUCGGAUUCAUUGGGCGUAAAGGGUGCGUAGGCGGCGCGGUGAGUCGGGUGUGAAAUCUCGGAGCUUAACUUCGAAACUGCAUUCGAUACUGCCGUGCUUGAGGACUGGAGAGGAGACUGGAAUUCACGGUGUAGCA